rnacentral:rRNA from 1 species
ACAGAGGGUGCAAACGUUGUUCGGAAUUACUGGGCGUAAAGCGUGUGUAGGCGGCUAGGCAAGUCGGAUGUGAAAGCCCCGGGCUCAACCCGGGAAGUGCACUCGAUACUGCGUAGCUUGAGUGUGGGAGAGGUUGGUGGAAUUCUCGGUGUAGAGGUGAAAUUCGUAGAUAUCGAGAGGAACACCGGUGGCGAAGGCGGCCUUCUGGACGACAACUGACGCUGAGACGCGAAAGCGUGGGGAGCAAACAGGA